AUGAUGUACACGACUUUAAAGGGCCUGGAGUCCCAUUGGUAAUGUAUAACAUUGAUUCGAUUCUUAAUUAUGCGGAAGUGAAUUCCACAAGUUGCUCGAGGUUCUAGUUGUGGACAAACGAUUAAGGCGGUAGUACGCAUACGAGAUUGUCUUCACUUGUGUGCUUUUCGAAGUUUUAAGGCAUUAAGUGGACAAUCUAGGGGAAGUAAAUUGACAUGGCAUUUGGGACAGUGUCCUCAACAAUUGGGUGGACGUGAGUGUGGCUACUACGUCAUGCGUUAUAUGUACGAAAUACUUGAACAUCACCAUAGCAGUGAAGAUCUUAUUCAGGAUUUUUCAAGAACGUAACUACACCGUACACCGAGGAGGAGAUAAAUGAGAUCCGAGAUAUUUGGGCAGAGUAUUUUAUAUGUAAUGUUGAACUUUAGAUUUACCACUUAGCGCAUGUUUGACUCUUGUUUUGGAUUAUAGGCUUGAAAUGAAGUAAUUUGGUUAAUUGGUGUUGGGAUGAUGAGUAUAAUGUCUAUGAUAUUGAGAUGUAAAUUAUUGGACAGGUUGUUAAUAUAAUGUCGUCAUUCCCAAUUUUAUGGGUAGGCCAAAUUACAAAGGAGACUCUGCCGAAAUUUACAUUUGCAUUAUUCAAUAAUAUUGCAUUUUAAUUUCAA